rnacentral:lncRNA from 1 species
GGUCACAUGGCCAUAGCUGGUAUUGAUAACUGCCUUCUUCUACUACCCAUUCUGUAUUCCCUUUGCCUUCAACAAGCACCUCAGCUGAUUAUGUUUCUUUAUGGGGUAGGGGUGACUCAGAUCUUUAUUCCUGAAGAGUCUGGGCCAUUCAUAGUCCUGCCUUCGUUGGAUUGUUAUAGUUUCCCACUGACUUUAAUCAAAGGUCAUGGCAAUAAUAAAAGAUUCUCUAGGGCAUAGCCUGUAUUCCAGACAUACUCUUCUUUAUGUCCAUUGUGGAGCAGUAGUCCACUUCUCUCUUGGUAUUCAGAACAGUUACCUCAGCCAGCACUGUAACUCCCUUCUUGGUCUGUUGAUUCAGAGGAAUGAGGAGACCAAAGAGACUGGGUGGGUCUUAACUUCCACUUCAACGAAAUCAUUGUUGUGUCUUCUGGUAGAAGCAUUCCUCUCUCUAGAACUAUGAACUCUAGGUCAGCAGAGCAUAAAGUCAUGGGAACAGGAAGCAAAAAUUUUAUUAGUCCCUAUGGGUAACAGUAAGUGGUGCCACUUCCAUUUUCACCCCUUGAUUCCUAGACCUGUGAAUCCUGACUACCAGAAAAACAGCAGCAUAUAUUGGAUGCUGAUUUAGAGCAUAUUCUGAAGAUCCUUGCCCCAGCCCUGGUAGUAUUGCCACCUAGCUUGAUGCCAGAUGAAUCUUCGAAAGACCAUUCUACCAUUCUAUCAAGAUAGCUGCUGCAGGAUGGUGUCCUUACAAGGAAGUGUGGAAGAGAACAGAUGCUAAUUUAUGACUCCGGAUCAAUUUGCUCAAACCUGCACACAGGCAUUAGAGGCAGAAGAAGGACACCAUUUUUCCCCCCGUUUGGUAUAUACCAUUCCUCUGGUUAUGUUGUUUACUGAUAUCCUGCCUCCGUGUCAGGCUUAAUACAAAUAAAUAAACAAACAACAAUCUCUAUUUUUUUAAAUAAAGGAAGCUUUUUAACCAUUUAAAG